rnacentral:rRNA from 1 species
UGAGUGGAGGGUCCUGGUAAGAAGACCGGUAUUCUCGUGUCCCACAGCGCGGAUAACAGGAGGUGUCCGGCAUUUAUCGAAUUUAUGGGCGUUAAAGGGCCCUUUAGUCCGAUGAUAAUCCAGAUGUGAAUUCCGGGACUCAAUUCCCGAAGCUGCAUUUGAAACUUCCAUUGCUUGAGGACGGGCCGGAGAAAAGCGGAAUUCCACGUGUAGGCGGUGGAAAUGCGUAGAUAUGUGGAAGAACCCCUGUGGCGAAGGCGGCUUUUAGCUUGUUCCUGACACUGAGGCGCGAAAGCGUGGGGAGCGAACAGGAUUAGAUACCCUGGUAGUCCACGCCGUAAACGAUGCAUACUAGAUGUAGCUGGGCUCAACCCUAGCUGUGUCGUAGCUAACGCGUUAAGUAUGCCGCCUGAGUAGUACGCUCGCAAGAGUAAAACUCAAAAGAAUUGACGGGGGCCCGCACAAGCAGUGGAUCAUGUGGUUUAAUUCGAUGCAACGCGAAGAACCUUACCCAGGCUUGACAUGCAGAGGACAGUGCCAGAGAUGGUGUGUUCCGCAAGGACCUCUGCGCAGGUGCUGCAUGGCUGUCGUCAGCUCGUGCCGUGAGGUGUUGGGUUAAGUCCCGCAACGAGCGCAACCCUUAUCGUUAGUUGCCAACAGUUUGGCUGGGGACUCUAACGAGACUGCCUAGGUUAACUAGGAGGAAGGUGAGGAUGACGUCAAGUCAGCAUGGCCCUUAUGUCUGGGGGGUCCACCCGCGAGACACAAUGGCCGGUACAGAAGGCAGCCAAAGCUGCAAGGUGGAGCAAAUCCCAAAAACCGGUCCCAGUUCGGAUUGAAGUCUGCAACUCGACUUCAUGAAGUUGGAAUUGCUAGUAAUGGCGUGUCAGCAAUAACGCCGUGAAUACGUUCCCGGGCCUUGUACACACCGCCCGUCACAUCAUGGGAGUUGGUCUUACCCGUAGUCGCUGACUCAACCGCAAGGAGAGACGUGCCGAAG